CCUGCUUGCGCAUGCACGAAGUGGGUCUGUGUCGUCAAAGUCAGGCUAGCAGAUGGACAGGUUCGGACUGAAUUUGAAGGUAACAGCUCAAACGAGAAGAACACGACCUGAAAGUCUCCUUCAGCGAUGUAUCACAAAAAAUGGAGACGACAAAAUGCACAAUUAUGCGCAUUGGUGGAGUCUAAGAAGUCUGAGAAUCCAGGUCCCUCAAAUGAGAAUCCAGGCCCCUCUUUUGCUGAUAGCCCAACAGACAUACAGACACAGGAGCAGUCUGAUACAGGAGAAGACCUGUCAUAUACUGUCAUGCUCUCCCCCCAUACACCCUUCUUAUUCGCUCUCUGCUACAUUUUCAUAAUGAACUUGAUUGCAAUAUAAUAUUCUAAUAUAAAUCUGUUUUACCAUGGCAGAACUAUGACAAAUAAAAUGAUGGCCAUGAUGAGCCUCAGAGGAAGAAGUGGGAAGGUUGCCUUCAUGAAGACCCGUCUCUACACGAUAAUCUGUGAUACUGUCUUGAGCUCAUUUGAUACAACUACAACAAAAGUAGAUGAAUACAUGGCCAAAUACUUGAAAUAUGCACCAGAGAGGAUGGGUGGUGGUGGCAGAAAGUAGUAACAAGAAGGGAAGAUUUAACCAGCCGUGUUCAAUGUUUCCCAGUGUUUAGGCUGUUUUUAUAAAGGUUAAAGUUCGA